GAUUUCUGACGAACCGACGUGGCCCGUCGUACUUAUGUUCGAUGAGUGCUGUGGCGAGUUUGUCAUCCUUCCAGAGAGCUGCGUCUACCGUUUAUUCGGCUGGACGUACGUGAUCUGGAUCGAUUACUUUGAAAAAAUUAGAGUGUUUAAAGCAGGCUUAUGCUGUGAAUACAUUAGCAUGGAAUAAUAAUUUAGGACUUCGGUUCUAUUUUGUUGGUUUCUAGGACUGAAGUAAUGAUUGAUAGGGAUAGUUGGGGGUGCUAGUAUUCCGCGGCCAGAGGUGAAAUUCUUGGAUUCGUGGAAGACUAACUACUGCGAAAGCAUU
rnacentral:rRNA from 1 species